ACGGAUUUGGCGGCAAGAUAGCCCCUUAGAGGAACCUGCCCUAUAAACGAUGAACCACGAAGAGACAUUACUUUUUUUUGAAAUCAGUUUGUAUAUCGCUGUUGUCAGUUAGAUUCCGAAGAAUAUUUUCAUUUAUGAAAAGGUCAUUGACUUCAAGUAAAGGUGCAGCUUAUAGAAAAGAAAGAGGUGGGUUACAUUUAAAAGAAUAAUACGGAUAAGAUGAAUGAAGGAAUCUUUGAAGGUGGAUUUAACUGUAAAAUUUAAUAAAAUUUGGUGAGAGCUCUAUCUUGUGUACACACC
rnacentral:rRNA from 1 species